CGUAACAAGGUAGCUGUAGGUGAACCUUCGGCUGGAUCAUUACCGAUCCUAUGACACAUUUAUUCGUGCUCGUCACGAUGAUGCGAGAGGUGACUUCGGUUGCCGCGCAUGAUGGCGGUUCGAUUCGCGUCGUUCCGCCUACUGAUGGUUCGCACGGAAGCCGAGAGGCGACCGUGCAACGGUGAAGUCUGGGUUUCUACGUGCUGUUGUUGAGUUGGCGUUUUACCGUGCCGACAGAUGAGACCAGCCAGCUGCUUGCCGAUUCGUUCUGGCGAGCGUAGGAUUGAAAAGCCCGAGCGGCUGCCCUGACAAAACAUUCAUUUUACAUUUAUUUUGUUGGAAAAGAGCUUUAAGUUACUCCGGUGGAUCACUUGGCUCGCGGGUCGAUGAAGAACGCAGUGAAUUGCGAUAAUAAGUACGAAUUACAGAUAUUAUGAGUACCAUGUUUUUGAAUGCAUAUUGCGCUCUUGGGCUUUGCUCUUGAGCAUAUCCGAUUCAGGGUGUGUUGUUAAACUCGAGCAGAAACGCCGACUUGUUUUUUCACAAGUUUCUGCACGUUGUGACAGUCGUCUCGCAUUGUUCGCGCAAUGUUAGGCACCAUCUGUUUUAGCGGAGCGUUUGUUCCGCGACCAAUAUCUUCUACGCACUGUUUGUGCGUGCGGCGAGAGGGCUUCGUGCUCGAUUGUCGUGCGUCUAAACCGUUUGGUGAUGUUGUUUCAACGGCGCGGCCGUCAGGGACGUUCGGAUGAGAAUGUUUGGAGUCCUGGCUGCGGUUUUGUUGAGCUUCGUCGUGAAGCCUUGCGGGCAGUGUUGUCGGAAUUGGUUGAAACCACCUGAGUUGGGUAUGACUACCUGCUGAACUUAAGCAUAUCAGUAAGCAGAGGAAAAGAAACAAACAUGGAUUCCCUUAGUAACGGCGAGUGAAA
rnacentral:rRNA from 1 species